GAAUAUGGGGGGACCAUCCUCCAAGGCUAAAUACUCCUGACUGACCGAUAGUGAACCAGUACCGUGAGGGAAAGGCGAAAAGAACCCCGGCGAGGGGAGUGAAAAAGAACCUGAAACCGUGUACGUACAAGCAGUGGGAGCACAGGUUUACCUGUGUGACUGCGUACCUUUUGUAUAAUGGGUCAGCGACUUAUAUUCUGUAGCAAGGUUAACCGAAUAGGGGAGCCGGAGGGAAACCGAGUCUUAAUUGGGCGUUAAGUUGCAGGGUAUAGACCCGAAACCCGGUGAUCUAGCCAUGGGCAGGUUGAAGGUUGGGUAACACUAACUGGAGGACCGAACCGACUAAUGUUGAAAAAUUAGCGGAUGACCUGUGGCUGGGGGUGAAAGGCCAAUCAAACCGGGAGAUAGCUGGUUCUCCCCGAAAGCUAUUUAGGUAGCGCCUCGUGAAUUCAUCUCCGGGGGUAGAGCACUGUUUCGGCUAGGGGGCCAUCCCGGCUUACCAACCCGAUGCAAACUGCGAAUACCGGAGAAUGUUAUCACGGGAGACACACGGCGGGUGCUAACGUCCGUCGUGAAGAGGGAAACAACCCAGACCGCCAGCUAAGGUCCCAAAGUCAUGGUUAAGUGGGAAACGAUGUGGGAAGGCCCAGACAGCCAGGAUGUUGGCUUAGAAGCAGCCAUCAUUUAAAGAAAGCGUAAUAGCUCACUGGUCGAGUCGGCCUGCGCGGAAGAUGUAACGGGGCUAAACCAU
rnacentral:rRNA from 1 species